rnacentral:rRNA from 1 species
GGCUUGCCCCGGGGCAGAGCCGCGAACGGGUGAGUAACACGUGGGUUACCUGCCCCAAUGACCGGGACAACCCGAGGAAACUCGGGCUAAUACCGGAUGUGGUCUUCGGACGAAAGGAAGCUUCGGCCUCCGCAUUGGGAUGGGCCCGCGGCGCAUUAGCUUGUUGGUGGGGUAACGGCCUACCAAGGCGACGAUGCGUAGCUGGUCUGAGAGGACGAUCAGCCACACUGGGACUGAGACACGGCCCAGACUCCUACGGGAGGCAGCAGUGGGGAAUCUUGCGCAAUGCGCGAAAGCGUGACGCAGCAACGCCGCGUGGGGGAAGAAGGCCUUCGGGUUGUAAACCUCUUUCAGUUGGGACGAAGCUUCGCGGGUUAAUAGCCUGCCGGAGUGACGGUACCUUCAGAAGAAGCCCCGGCUAACUACGUGCCAGCAGCCGCGGUAAUACGUAGGGGGCAAGCGUUGUCCGGAAUCAUUGGGCGUAAAGAGCGUGUAGGCGGCCCGAUAAGUCCGCUGUGAAAGUCCAGGGCUCAACCCUGGAAUGCCGGUGGAUACUGUCGGGCUCGAAUCCGGAAGAGGUGAGUGGAAUUCCUGGUGUAGCGGUGAAAUGCGCAGAUAUCAGGAGGACACCAAUGGCGAAGGCAGCUCACUGGGACGG